rnacentral:rRNA from 1 species
CCUACGGGAUGCACCAGUGGGGAAUAUUGCACAAUGGGCGCAAGCCUGAUGCAGCCAUGCCGCGUGUGUGAAGAAGGCCUUCGGGUUGUAAAGCACUUUCAGCGAGGAGGAAGGUGGUGAACUUAAUACGUUCAUCAAUCGACGUUACUCGCAGAAGAAGCACCGACUAACUCCGUGCCAGCAGCCGCGGUAAUACGGAGGGUGCAAGCGUUAAUCGGAAUUACUGGGCGUAAAGCGCACGCAGGCGGUUUGUUAAGUCAGAUGUGAAAUCCCCGGGCUCAACCUGGGAACUGCAUUUGAAACUGGCAAGCUAGAGUCUCGUAGAGGGGGGUAGAAUUCCAGGUGUAGCGGUGAAAUGCGUAGAGAUCUGGAGGAAUACCGGUGGCGAAGGCGGCCUCCUGGACGAAGACUGACGCUCAGGUGCGAAAGCGUGGGGAGCAAACAGGAUUAGAUACCCCGGUAGUC